GAUGAACGCUAGCGGCAGGCUUAAUACAUGCAAGUCGAGGGACAGCACAGGUAGCAAUACUGGGUGGUAACCGGCAAACGGGUGCGGAACACGUACACAACCUUCCUUUAAGUGGGGGAUAGCCCAGAGAAAUUUGGAUUAAUACCCCGUAAUAUAGUUGAAUGGCAUCAUUUGAUUAUUAUAGCUACGGCGCUUAAUGAUGGGUGUGCGGCUGAUUAGAUAGUUGGCGGGGUAACGGCCCACCAAGUCUACGAUCAGUAGCUGAUGUGAGAGCAUGAUCAGCCACACGGGCACUGAGACACGGGCCCGACUCCUACGGGAGGCAGCAGUAAGGAAUAUUGGUCAAUGAACGCAAGUCUGAACCAGCCAUGCCGCGUGAAGGAUUAAGGUCCUCUGGAUUGUAAACUUCUUUUAUUUGGGACGAAAAAGGGCCUUUCUAGGUCAACUGACGGUACCAGAUGAAUAAGCACCGGCUAACUCCGUGCCAGCCGCCGCCGUAAGAC
rnacentral:rRNA from 1 species